rnacentral:SRP_RNA from 1 species
GCCGGGCAUGGUGGCACGUGCCUGUAAUCCCAGCUACUUGGGAGGCUGAGGCAGGAGAAUUGCUUGAAUCUAGGCAGCUGAGGUUGCAGUGAGCCGAGAUUGCGCCACUGCACUCCAGCUUGGGCGACAGAGCAAGAUUCUGUCUCAA